CAGGGAUUGCCCUAGUAACGGCGAGUGAAGCGGCAACAGCUCAAAUUUGAAAUCUGGCCCUAGUGGUCCGAGUUGUAAUUUGUAGAGGAUGCUUUAGGUGCGGUACCUUCUGAGUUCCCUGGAACGGGACGCCAGAGAGGGUGAGAGCCCCGUACGGUGGGAUACCAAGCCUAUGUAUAGCUCCUUCGACGAGUCGAGUAGUUUGGGAAUGCUGCUCUAAAUGGGAGGUAUAUUUCUUCUAAAGCUAAAUACCGGCCAGAGACCGAUAGCGCACAAGUAGAGUGAUCGAAAGAUGAAAAGCACUUUGAAAAGAGGGUUAAAUAGCACGUGAAAUUGUUGAAAGGGAAGCGUUUGCGACCAGACCUUUUCCGGGCGGAUCAUCCAGCGUUCUCGCUGGUGCACUUCGCCCGGUUUAGGCCAGCAUCGGUUUUCUUAGGGGGAUAAAGACCUGGGGAACGUAGCUCUUUCGGGAGUGUUAUAGCCCCUGGUGUAAUACCCUUCAGGGGACCGAGGACCGCGCUUCGGCUAGGAUGCUGGCGUAAUGGUCGUCAACGACCCGUCUUGAAACACGGACCAAGGAGUCGAACAUUGGUGCGAGUGUUUGGGUGUUAAACCCUCACGCGUAAUGAAAGUGAACGGAGGUGAGAGCCUGUACGGGUGCAUCAUCGACCGAUCCUGAUGUCUUCGGAUGGAUUUGAGUAAGAGCAUCACUGUUCGGACCCGAA
rnacentral:rRNA from 1 species